rnacentral:rRNA from 1 species
GACGAACGCUGGCGGCGUGCUUAACACAUGCAAGUCGAACGGAAAGGCCCUGCUUUUGUGUGGUGCUCGAGUGGCGAACGGGUGAGUAACACGUGAGUAACCUGCCCUUGACUUUGGGAUAACUUCAGGAAACUGGGGCUAAUACCGGAUAGGAGCUCCUGCUGCAUGGUGGGGGUUGGAAAGUUUCGGCGGUUGGGGAUGGACUCGCGGCUUAUCAGCUUGUUGGUGGGGUAGUGGCUUACCAAGGCUUUGACGGGUAGCCGGCCUGAGAGGGUGACCGGCCACAUUGGGACUGAGAUACGGCACAGACUCCUACGGGAGGCAGCAGUGGGGAAUAUUGCACAAUGGGCGGAAGCCUGAUGCAGAAACGCCGCGUGCGGGAUGACGGCCUUCGGGUUGUGAACCGCUUUCGCCUGUGACGAAGCGUGAGUGACGGUAAUGGGUAAAGAAGCACCGGCUAACUACGUG